rnacentral:lncRNA from 1 species
AAGGAGUUUAAGAGUUUGUUUGAGUCAAAGUAGGAUCAAAUUACAAUUGCAUCUGAAGAGGUUGUCAGUUAAAGAUGAAAAGAAAUCAAACAAAAGGACCGUCCAUGGAGGCAUAACUUAGGAUUGUACCCCUGCGUGAGACUGAUUAUUUGUAUCAUCUUUUUCCUAUUAUGUAUCCCCAUUCAGUUUUAUUCAUAAAGUUUGUAUAAAUUCAGAUUUUGGGACAAUGUUGUCAAAUGACGUAAUACAUUCUUCAGAUCGAUAAGCCUACCCUUGGCACAAAAGGGUCACAUAAUUGUAUAGGAUGCGCAAUAAUUGUUUAUAUGCUAUGUGAUAUAAUUGAGUUUGUUUUCAAUCAAAGUAGUGCUUAUGUGUUUAAUUAAUUUUAUAUUUUUUUGGUGAUAUUUUGCAUUAUUCAUUAUGAAUACAAAUUAACACUUUUAUCUUUUGAGUUUAUCUUAUUUUUAAGCGAGAGAUUAAUCUAAUGAGAAUUUAGAAGUCAUUGUUCGUCCAAAGUUGCAAGGGACAAGAGGAUUCGCGAAGUUCAAGUGUUUAUAUUUCACAAGACAUUAAUCUCAAGUCGAAAACAUAAAUCAGGGGAGUCUUUGACUAUGAGGUCGCACUCAUUCAUUUUUCAAUAUUUUUGCAUUUUGGCUCUGCUUUCACACAUUUCUAAUAUUUUGCAGGAACCCAUCCCCGACGACAGUCGGGAUGGUCAUAACAAUGUUUGGUUCUCGUGGAUAAUUGGGAGAAGACACAGUUCCAAGAGACAUUAAAAAAUAAAAAAAUACAACAAGUGGUUACUGUAAGAAAAAUGAGAGACCACAUUCAACAUGCAGUACAAAUGUCAACAGUUAAGAGGAUGCAAGAAAUCGCUCUGAGUUUAUAUAAAUUCUAAAGUUGUUUUAUGUCAUAUUUGAACGAACUAUGAGAACCUGAUUCUCAUCUUGGUGAGAUACGUAGGCAAUCCUCUUUGGGUUCGCUAUCCAUUUUUUCAAAUUUCAAAAAAUAAAAAGUAAAAU